GCCAUAGCUCAGUUGGUAGUAGCACAUGACUGUUAAUCAUGAUGUCGUAGGUUCGAGUCCUACUGGCGGA
rnacentral:tRNA from 1 species